AACGAACGCUGGCGGCGCGCCUAAUACAUGCAAGUCGAGCGAGAAGACGUAGCAAUACGUUUGUAAAGCGGCGAACGGGUGAGGAAUACAUGGGUAACCUACCCUCGAGUGGGGAAUAACUAGCCGAAAGGUUAGCUAAUACCGCGUACGCUCCUUGGACUUCGGUUCAGGGAGGAAAGCGAUACCGUGGGUAUCGCGCUCUUGGAUGGGCUCAUGUCCUAUCAGCUUGUUGGUGAGGAACGGCUCACCAAGGCUUCGACGGGUAGCUGGUCUGAGAGGACGAUCAGCCACACUGGCACUGCGACACGGGCCAGGACUCCUACGGGAGGCAGCAGUAAGGAAUAUUGCGCAAUGGGCGAAAGCCUGACGCAGCGACGCCGCGUGGGGGAUGAAGGUCUUCGG
rnacentral:rRNA from 1 species